CUGAAUGCUAGUUAUUUGUCAGAUACAUGUUUUGCAAACCAUUUAUCUGUAUUUGGUUUCUUUUUGUUAUCUUAGCAGUGUAUCCUGAAGAAUAGUUUUAAAUUUUGAUGUAAUCCAAAAUAUUUCGGUUGUUUGUGUUCUUUGUUAUCCUAUUUUUGUUGUUGUUGUUUUAUAGAUAUGGGGGUCUCACUACGUUGCCCAGGCUGGUCUUGAUCUCCUGAACUCAAGUGAUCCUCCCACCUCAGCCUCCCAUCCUUGUCUACCUAAUUAGGCUUUGUGUAACUCAGUGUUGCAAAGCUUUGACAUCUGUUUGAGUUAAUGUUUAUAUAUGUUGUUACUUAAGGGUUUCACAUUAAAUUUAAACAUACUUAUAUUUUAUAACCAAACAAGUCAUGUUGGGGCAUACUCAUUAGGAUUGAGUGCUUUCUUACACCAAAAUACAUGUAUACAAAGAUUUAAAACACUUUCGGCCGGGCGCGGUAAUCCCAGCACUUUGGGAGGCCGAGGCGGGUGGAUCACAAGGCUAGGAGAUCAAGACCAUCUGGCUAACACGGUGAAACCCUGUCGCUACUAAAAAAAUACAAAAAAUUAGCCAGACGUGGUGGCAGGCGCCUGUAGUCCCAGCUACUCGGGAGGCUGAGACAGGAGAAUGGCAUGAACCCGGGAGGCAGAGCUUGCAGUGAGCCGAGAUCACCCCACUGCACUCCAGCCUGGGCGACAGAGUGAAGGCUAUGUCUCAAGAAAAAAAAAAAAAAACUUUUAUAAUAACAACUGUAAAUAGUUCAAUUGACAGUCAUUUGUAAGAUGUUUAAGUAAACUGUGAAACAGUAAGUAAAUGGAUGAAAACACACUGAUUAAAACUGCUGCUUUUAUCCAACAAGAUGGAUGAAUUUCCCAGGAAAGAAUACUUGAGUUCAGGCCUGUUCAAGUCCCAACCUGUUUGUGGUUUGAGGUUGCUCUCUGCCUCGUAGAGCAAAGUGGAAAAUUUAUCUUCUGGGAGGACAGAGUUUUCUUCUCUGAAAAAGUUUCCUACAUAGUUGGCUUUGGCAUUUGCAAGGAAUGAAAGGUCAGGGAUUGAGGCCUCAUGAGUCUGGAUUUCUAGCUGAGGUUGAGAGAAAAGGUAGUGAUUGUAACCAGAAAAUCCAGAGUGGGUGUAUUUACCUCCAGAACUCAUCACUUAAAAAAAAAUUUUUUUUGAACUGACAUGCUUGAGGCUUUUUCUUUUUUUUUUUUUUGAGAUGGGGUCUUGCUCUAUCCCCCAGGCUGGAGUGCAGUUGUGCAGUCAUAGCUCACUGUAGCCUUAUCCUCCUGGCCUAAGCAGUCCUCCUGCCUCAACCUCCCUAGUAGCUGAGACCACAGGCGCAUGCCACCUGUGAGUUUCUAGAGAUGAGGUCUCCCUAUGUUCCCCAGCCUGGUCUUGAACUCCUGGGCUCAAGUGAUCCUCCUGCCUCAGCCUUCCAAAGUGUUGGAUUACAGGCGUGAGCCACUGUGCCUGGCCAGAGCUCAUCACUGUUAACUCAGCCUGGGUUUUUCACAGCAGUCAUGGAAAUAGAUUCAUUAAUAAUAGUAACAAAUAUAUAGUCUCCCUCUCAAAGAAACCUUGAGUGGCAGUGGCAUACCAGAUACACAGUAGGAAAUACUGUAGAAUUAUGUUGUUAAGUUCAUAACCAAACAUCAUACAUGAUGAUAAAAGACAAGAUAAUGGUCACAUUUAUGCAGUAUUAACUGAGAGGGCAAAUUUGUGCCUGAGAAGCUAUUGGGAAUGUUCUCUCUCUUUGCAUUACUAGGAAUUACAUGGGAAACACAUGUAGACAGUCUUCAGGCUAUUAAGAUUUGUCCACUUAAUCUUUACUUAUACAUGAAUAAAAAAUGGGAAAACAUGAUAAAUAUAAUAAACUAAUACACUCAACCCUGCCCCUUGAUUAUAUAAUAGAACAAAAUCAGCAUGCCCGGCAUGAGCCUGCCAGAUUGCCAAUUCCAUCCUCCACCUUCAGAGGAUGCCGCCAUCCAGAAUUUUGCCUUACUCAUUUUACUUUCUUCAUAGUUCGACACCUUAAAUGUAUAUUACUAAUAGUAGCUUUGCAUUUUUGGCUGAUUUAAAAAUUGAUAUAAAUGAAAUAAUGCUGUAGAGAUGCUUUUUGGUAUUAAGUGGAUAUACUGUUAUUCUUAAAGAUGUUUGAAAUGAAUAUACCUUUCUAAAUAUCUUUUUAAAAUAAUACAUUAAAUGAUACUGCUUUAGAAUUCAUGAACUGCAUCUCAUGAGAAUAUGUAGAGAUGACGUGGGCAGGUAAAGUAAAACUUCAGGUUGAAUAUCCUAUGAUAAUUUAAAAAUGACAAAAUAGUGUGGUGAAUAAUAGAGCUUGAGCACUUUAAGGCACCGUAGGGACCCCUUCAAUGUAAUGAUGACAGUGCUGAGGUGCAGAGAAGUUAGGUAAUCAGCCCAAGCCACUACUCUAAGGACAGACCCUAUCUACUUUUCCUAAUUUGUCAGAAGACUGCCUAUGAUACUACUAAUAAAAAGUCCUAUGAAAUUGGUAUUGUCAUUAUUUUACAAAUAAAAUAAUCUUCAAUUUUUGUUUCCUCUAUGCAUGGGUUACUUAGUAUUUUGUAAUUUGAAUUUCAAGCAUAAUUAAAAAGAAAUCAGGUAUCUAGGCUGGGCAUGAUGGCUCAAGCCUGUAAUCUCAACAUUUUGGGAGGCUGAGGCAAGAGGAUCACUUGAGGCCAGGAGUUUGAGGUAUCUUUUGUUGAUCUCUACACUGAUUGUAUUCUCUCUUUUAUUCUAUGAAAGUUAAAGAUUUUUUCUGAUACUACAUAUUGUCAGUUUUUUAAAUACUCAGUUUGUGCUAAAAGAAAACAUUCGGCAACUGAUAUCUGCUGUUCUGUAUGUAUCUGUCAGUCCAGAUUUGUCCAUUAUGGUGUAUGAAUCUAAUAGAACCUCACCAAUGUUAUACCUGCCUUCUUGAAAUCAUUACUGAGAUAGCUAAUAUUAAAAUAUCCUGGUUUGUCUGUAUAUUUAAUUCUUUACUCUCAUUAUACUAAAUUUUUUUAAUGUAAUUUGAAUUGAUGGUAAAAAUUGUAUACAGGCCGGGUGCAGUGGCUCACUCCUAUAAUCCCAGCAUUUUGGAAGUCCUAUGCAGGAGGAUUGCCAGAGGCCAGGAAUUUGAGAUCAGCCUGGGCAACAUAGUGAAACUCUCAUCUUUAUAAAAAGUAAUAUUAAAAUUUUUAAAAGUGUAUAAACUGUAAAGUAUAUUUUACUGGUGUUUUCUUCCUUAUUCCUACUUGUCAGAUGCAAAUACACAUUUUUGUGUGUUUGUGUUUAGUAAUUAUAAGUAUACAUAUUUCAUUCUUCUAUUUCAUAUAUUUCUAUGACAUUAUAUCUUAGAUGUGUAAUUUAUGAACUACUACUGGAUUAUUUUAAUCCAUUAGAAAUUACUAUUCACGCAUUCUGUAUUCAAUUCAUGUGAUAGCUAAUAUAUUUGGUUUUAAAUGCAUCUUAUUUUGUGGUUUUCUUCUAGGCUGUUUUUUGUGCUUUCUUUUAAAAAUAUAUAGGUUUUAAUAAUCUUAAUUUUCUUUUAGUUUGAAAUGUAUAUACUCAUUUUAUUCAUUAGUCUAAGAUAAGAAUUGUAACACUUCUCUAACCUAUUAUAGAAUUGUUAAUACCUUUACCCUUCUCUUGAACACAUCAAAGGAUGUCAUUGAGUGUUGGUAUUGGAGUAUAGCAUAUCUAUUAUUCUGCUCAAUUAGAAGAUAUUGUUCAUGUUGUAUAGAGAUAAUAAGUAAUUGUAUUGAUCUGCAGAUGCAUCCAUCUCUUGGAUUCUCAUUCCUUCUACCACUGCAGAACUUUCACCUGUAAUCACUUUCCUUUGGCCUUAAGGAUAACUUUUAGGGUUACUUUUCUACUAAAUUUCCAAUUUUUGACCAGAUAUAAUCUUAUAUUGUGCUCUUCCUGAAAAAUACUAUUGUUGUGGAUAGAAAUCUGGGUUGGUAGUUAUUUCUUCAGCAAUUUGACCAUGUCAUUCCACUGUGUCCCUGGCCUCCUGUAUACUGGAUGUGAAUGGAUACAAUUAUAUAUUGUGUUUAUAGUUUUCCUGUGCUAUAGGAACAGUAUUCGAAUCUGAUGCAAAGGACAACACACCCUAGAGAUUGUAACAGUGAGAUGAACCAAGUGAUUGGAUGGGGUUUUGAGUUGCUGGAAUAAUGGAGUUACAGUGUACAAUGCAUAAGCAACAUAAUAAAUUAUAUAUCUGGUGAACAAAUGGA
rnacentral:lncRNA from 1 species